UGAUUUCAGCAACUGUGGUAUCAUUAGAGGUGGUUUGUACACUGAACGCUGAGGGGGAUUUAUUGAUCAUGGUAUGACUAGAGGUGGCUUGUACACUGAACAUUGAGGGGGAUUUAUUGAUCAUGGUAUGACUAGAGGUGCUUUGUACCCUAGGUACAAACUGCUGCUUAAGAUUGAUAUUCAAACCAAGAAGAAAUUAAAACAACCAACUCCACAUUUUUCACUUGUCUCUGGGUCUCUCAUACAGAUGUGAGGAUGGAAGGAGGAGACAGAGCCUGUUGCAUUAAUUAGAUCAGAAGCCUGUGAUUGUUCUAACGCAUUUCUAGCUCGGUACCCAUCUCACACAGGUGACUGCAGAAGCAGUGGACGUUAUGUGUAUACUAAUUGAGGAAUCAAAUGACUCCAUUCCCUGUAAACUUGACCUGUUCACAGCACUGGCUCUGCAGGAUUUUUGUGCUCUGUGGUAUAACUUGUUAUUUUGAACAAAUGACUUUUGAUAUUCACUGUGAGGUUCUAUCUGUCAUAGCAAGGAAAAAUCUCUUUUGCUCGCUGGAUUUCCUUUUUCAUGCUUGGAAGGCUGCUGAACCUUGGUAAUGAAGCUCCUUGUAACCAGCACAGGUUUGGUACAGACAAGGCCAGCUCUUCUGUGAACUUGAAUAAACCCACCUCCAUCGUGCUAACAUGCUUCAGGUGUAGAGCAUGCUUCUUGCUAAAUAGCCACUGGUGGUAUUUGAGGAACCAGUCCAUGUGUCUGAUGGAGAAACCACGUGUAUAUUUCACUUGUCAUGUACAAGUGAACAACCCAUUCUCAUUUGCCACUGUUCUUUGUUGCAGUUAGUGUAUAGAAAUGCCUGUGGUACUUGGACAUGCACUAGUUAGAGUAAAGGCUAGAAUCACCUAUUAGUGAAUUAUCACAAGAUCUCCAUGUAUAGCAGCACACAGAUUAGAGGCUGGUUUAUCAGCUUUGCUAAGUUGUGCUUGCUGCCCUACUAUCUUCUGGGUGUCUCUGAGAUGUGGAAGUAAUUAGGACCUGCACUGGCUCUAGUUCAUUCCUUCUUGCUGGUGGAUGUCUCCGAGAGGAUAAAAUUAGAUCAGCAGGAGAAACUCCUUGCAUUCCUUGCUGAGCCUUACAGAAAAGCUGAGGGAUGGAAGCCUUAACAAAUGUGGAUAUUGGCUGUGCUGUAUUUGACAUACUUAAAGCUAUUGCACAUUCUUUACUGUUCUUUUUAUAAAUCUUCUGGCAGGAAGCCUGAGCAAAUGGCCCAGCUGGAGUUACUGAUUGUAGCUCCCAGAAGCCAUAUUUGUUGAGAUCCAGUGCCUGCUGCUUGCCUUGCAUUGCUCAGUUGGAACAACUCCCCCCCAUUUCACUCCUUGCUCAGUCCUUACUUGUUUUCUGGCAGCCUUGACCAGCAGUGCUCCUGUGGAAUGGGAAUCUGGACAAGGCCAUUAAGCACAAGUGAGUUCCAGUGUAACACGCAUCUGAUCUUCUCCCUUUUGAAUGGAUUGGAAGUCCCACCUCAAGACCAGUGUUUAUGGAUAGUGGAAAGUAAUAAUUCUGUGUUUUAAGUAAGAAUUUCACUUAACUUAAAACUAAAUAAAUCUCCAGCUUCAUUUCUGGAUGGAGUUCCCUUUCCACUAAAGUUCUAGUUUGGAAAUGUCUACUGGUACAACGUUUGUGGUCUUCAGCAGUCUAGAGCUUCAUUCCAUUUUAUCAUUCCCCUGAGAUGUGAGAGAUACAUGGUACAUGCAGUAUAAUAUGGAUAUGAUAGUGUCAUUUUAGGGCCUUUAUACACUUCAUCUUCCAGAGUGUCACAGGAAGAUCUGGUUGGAAGGUCUGAUGUCCUUGAAUGCUCUGUACCAGGUCUGUGCAUGAUAUUCAGAGGGUGAAUUUUCAUGUCAGCUGCUAUAUUUAGUGGUUAGUUAAAUGCUGGUUAAUAGUUAAUGAAGACACUUACCAAAAGUGAUGUUUCAAAUAAAAGAGUUCUAGAACUCUAAUGUGCGAUAUGUCCACAUAUCACAUGUGGAUAUCACUCUAAUGUGUGCUAUCUCCUAAAUAAAACAGGAGCCAGAACUUGUUGCUGUCUCUUACCAUUAGUGCUGUGUGGUUGUGAACCUUCAGUAUUCAUGUAGUGCUGCAAAAGAGUGAAGGUUUGUGAUGGAAAUUAGUGACUGUUUUUGAAAGGCAUCUCUCUGCUGUGCAUCUUAGCCGUUUAUUAACAUAAAAAGAGCUGCAUUGCAGGAAGACUGAGAGCAGAGGGAAUGUGAGAUAGAUGUAUUUUUGUACACAGCUCGCCUCCCUUCUGCAUGAAUCUUUCAUGCAUUUAGUGGUGUUUUAUACGUGGCUUUUCAGAUCAAUUAGCUUUAUUACAGCCUGCUCUCCUGAAGUGGAAAGCAUCAAGUUGCUUCUUUCAGUUGAAGAUGUUCCAUGUCAAAACUUAGUUUGAAUUCUAUAUAAUUUUUCCCUAAGUAUUAUUAUCAGUAUUUUUUCCCCUCCAUCUAUAGACACAGAGAAAUAAAACCAGCAGCUCUCUCCACAGAGGGAAAUGGAGAAGGAAAUAAUAUGAAGAAUUGCUAAGUACCAUAAUUUGGUUGCAGGCAUUGAAUUCUUUUAUGACAGGGUUCUAGCUUUAUAGAAUGGAGUAGGGUUUUCUUCUUAUUCCUUUAUAUUUGACAUCUGUAACUUAAAAAUUGAUCCUAAAACAGGAAUAAUUCAUUCCCUUCUAUGACCAGAAGUCAGAAUCUGUUGGGAAGGGCAAAAAUUGAGGAAUAAAUCAGUUGUGCACUUUUAACAGGAAUCAUUUAAACCAUUAUUCCUGCUAUUUAUCUUCAAAAGGGAAAAGACACAGUGAUGAAGUUGAGAGAAUUGUAGCAUCCUUAGUUCCCUUGAGGCUGUAUCAGGUUUUCUAGAACUCAAGAGAUACACGUGUAUUUACGUACAAACCCACCCCAACAAUGCAGGCUUGGUUGCAAAAGAGCUUGAGAGCUGCUGGGAAAUAAAGCUGCUCUUAACACUUCCCUCCAUGUGGGGAAGCUGAAAGGUUAGUAGGCGCACUCUGAGCGGAGAUGAGAUCCUACGAAGGAGCAUGGCUCUAGUCCCAAAGUGAGUGAGUGGGACUGCUUGGGCUCAGUUGGAGCUCAGGAAAUCACACUGAGCAAGGGAUGCUAUACAGACAUAGUGGGAAGAAUGUUGGCUGGGUUAAGAUGUUCCUCUCUGCAGAGGAAAAUGGUGACAUCUGUCACUUACCUGAAGUCCUUGGGGUGGGACAUACCCACGCACUCCUGUGUAGUUGAUAACUGGGAAUG